rnacentral:rRNA from 1 species
AUGGGGGCGGCGCGGCGGGGCCUGCUGCUCGACCAGUGGCGCGGGAUCCAGGAGGACGAGGAGGCGUACGACGACCGCGGCGACCCUUCCGCGGCCAACCAUCGCCGCCGCCGCCUCAACCAGGCCAAGGAGCAGUGGUUUUCACAUUGUUUUGAUUUUCUAGAAAGUUUGCCAAAAGAAGAGCAUAUUUGGUGUGGAUAUGCUGAUAUUAUGGGACCUUUUUUAGAAAUGUUCCAUGGUUACUUUGAUGAGCAGGAAAACUCACUCGUUAGAACAAUAUGGUCACGGAUUUCUCAAGAACUGGGCAUUUGUACACAGUGUGUGUGUGAACACCACCAGGCACAGGAAUCUUUUGAUACUGAAUGUCGGUCAGGUAGUAUUGACCCCCUCCAGAAAGUAUUACGGCAUCUUGAUGAAGAGAGGGUUACGAAGCACCUAGAAAAGAUAAAUGCAAUGAUUCAGCUUAAGGAAUAUGACCCUUCCUGUCAUGGUGCAGAAGUUGUUUGCAUAAUGUUCGAAGUUUUGAUGUAUCCUGUUCUAUUAGAUGACCAAUCACUGGCUAAUCAGUUCCAGAAGUUCAUUGAAACAAUUGAUGAAUCAUAUGAAGUGAGCCUUUCAACUAAUCAGCAAUAUCCUGGUGUUUACGCAUUACUUUUCUUCAAAAGUGGUAAAGCUCGGGCUAUUGGUCUUCGCUUAUCCCGAUCCAUGGGUAAAUUAAGGAAAGCGGUUGACCUGGAACCGCUGCAACCCUUACUGCAAAAGUACAUCAAUUUCCUGGAUGCUGAAGUUCUUCCAUCUACUCCAGAAUUUUCAAGGCCCAGGGUGCAGCUCCAAAGGGCUGAUGUUUGGCUUGGAUUUAAAUCACUCCUUGGAUUUCUCGAGGCACCUGCUUUUGAAGAUGGAAUCUUGGAGAAAUACCCUAUCUUCCUGAAUAUUGUACUUAACCAUGUCAGUGAUGACGGAUUCGAUUUAUCAUGUGCUGUUAGUUGCCUCAAAGCAUCAUUUGAAAUGCUUGGCUGCAAACUUUGGUUGAGAACAACGCUAUCACCUAGUGUUAUUCGGAACACAUUAUUGGGUCAGUGUUUUCACACUCGAGAUGAGAAAAGUCACAAAGAAAUAUUCGAUCUUUUCAUCCCGUUUCUUCAGUCCCUUGAAGCUCUACAAGAUGGCGAACAUGAGAAGCAACGGAGGAAUAUUUUGUAUUUUCUUCUUCAUCAAGUAACUCGGAGUAGUAAUUUCAGUGCACUGAUGAGAAAAAAUGCUACUAAGAUUGCUCUUCUUAUUGUGCAAAGAGGCUACACAAUGAACCCUCCUUGCCCAGCCUCGGAAUGUGCCCAUAUGUGGGGACCAUCUUUGAUAUGCUCGUUAAAUGAUACAUCCUUGCAUAGUUCUCUGCGUCAACCUGCGUUUGAUCUCAUCAAUAUUCUCAUAGUUUCUGAUGCUUCUGCCUUGAUUUCCUUUAAACUGAAGUAUGAGUCUGCCACAAAGGGUGAUUCAAGCAACUCUGUCAUGUUUGUCGAGGACGAGGAUGAAUUGCCUUUUGCCGAUGAUACCGCGGAAAAGGAGUACAGCUGUUGGAGUGAUUUCAGAGCUCUGAACAAGUUGACAUUUAGGGGAUGCAAGGAUUGGACAUGUGUCCCUUUGUUAUGGUAUCUGGUAAUGGUUCAGUUGGAACCCUCUAAACUGCCUAUGGCUUUUUCGAAAGCAGUGUUUUGGGCUCUAUCUCAUAUUUCUAUUUUGGAGCCUGGGUUAGCUAUGGACUUGUCAGUGCCUGUAAAUGAUUGGUUAUCGUCACAUGCUGGAGAAGUCUCGUCAACAUUUUCAUGGCAAGUUCCAAAUGGUGCUGAUGAUGGUGGAGGUGGGAAGGAUUGCAUCAAUACUCUCAAGGUGUCAAAAUUUGGUACCCUGUUAUUGAGAAUAUUUAAAAGAUUUGCAAUCCGUGUCAUCAUGCAAAUUGAGCAAUGUGGGCUUCAAAAGCAAUGGACAUGGGAACCAAUGAUGGCGGAAAGCUUGAUUUUGGCACUAGUUGAUCCCAAUGAUAAUGUGCGGCAAGCAGGGAGGGCUGUCAUGGAACAUGUAUCCCAAGCACGGGGUUUGACUCCUGGGCUUCAAUUUCUGUGCUCAAGUGCAUCUUCACUGUCUGCUGUUUUCGUGGGUCUAAGAUAUGCAGUGCAGCUGGUGGAAAGGCAGUCACUUUUGGCAGAUUUUCAUAGUCUUCAUCACUUGUUUUUUGUCAUAUGCAAAUUAGUCAAGGAGGACAUUGCUCAACAGCCUUCAAUUCCACAGCCAACAAAACCUUCUGAAGGUGGUUUCUUGCGUCAACCAUUUUCAAAUGUACCAAUUACCCCACCAGAACAUGCUGUAGAUAUUAUUUCCUGGGAGAAGUUCAGCACUUUGCUUUCAGCAACUCUCUGGCCUUUAAUUUCCGCGUGCCUGAUAAAGGGAGACGAGCUAAUAAAUACCAAACAAUGUCAGAUAUCAUGUGUUCGAGUGCUUGAGUUGCUUCCCCUAGUCUACAACAGAGUCAACUCAUAUUGUGCUGAGCCAUUCAGUAUGACGACAAUGGUUCCAGACCCUAGUGAUAUGACAUGGCUUUUUCACUUGAUUAACUGGGGGAAAUCAUCUCUGCUUGUGAUCAGCAGACACUGGAAACAGUGCAUGCUAUCUUUAUUUAAAAUAUUAAAGGGUUCACAUGGUGACACCAUUCAACGCUCCAUUGAAGAUCUUGGUGAUACCAUUUCACACGAUGUAAUUGAUAUGGAUGCACUUAAAGGGAGAAUUUCUAAUCUUAAUCUUGCGGUGUUCAAGAAGGUGCCCACAAAAUCAGUUGAAACCAUCCCUUCUCUGAUUAGGCACACAGAUCAGGAGAGGCAUACUGGUCGGGACAAUCUUGAGACCAUGAAGCCCUCUCACGCGUCAGACACCGAACACAUAAUUCUUCUUUCAGACAGUGAAGAAAAUUUGCCUACAGAUGAUGUCAUUGGUGAGGAGGUUUUGUCUUCAGUGAAGGAGAAUGACGGAUUUACUGCUUCAGAUCUGUUAAAAAAUCCCUCUGUACAAACAAUGCCAGUUGAAGAUAAACAUGUGUCCUUAAAACAGCAGACACAUAGUGAUAUUAGUGCCUCUUCAAGACCUGUAUCGACGGAGAGUAGAGGCACACGUGCUGCCUCAAAAGGAUUAGGUGGAACAAAAAUGCCAAGUGUUCCAGCCAAUAAAAAUAGUACUUCCCAUUUACCAAACAAGGUUAAAUCAUCUGUUAGCGCCACUACUCAACCAUCCCGUCCAAAUUUGUCAUCGGAUGUAUGCAAAUUUAAGUCAAUUUUCAGAAAUAUAUCUGAUGAUGAAGAUGAUCCCUUAGAGCAUGCACUUGAUAAUUACAGAAGACCACAAAUUCGUGUAACAAAGUCUGCCAUAUUAAUUCCUAAAAGGCAAAUAGUUCAACUUCAGUUGCCUUCUGAAAGGAGACAGUCUUCUGGCAGACUGGAUACCAGUUUCCGACGUUUUAGUCCUCCUAAGCUGGACAGUUGGUUUAAGAAUAUAUUGGAAAUGGAUUACUUUGCUAUUGUUGGGCUAUCUUCUUCCGAGACAGUAAAGAAACCUGCUUUAAAACAAAUUCCUGUCUGCUUUGAUUCACAAGCUCAAUACAUUGAUAUCUUCCAGCCACUUGUUAUAGAAGAGUUCAAAGCUCAGUUGCAGAAUGCUUAUGUUGAAACCCCUCCUGAAGAUAUGAUGUGCGGCUCUAUAUCUAUACUCUCAGUUGAAAGAGUUGAUGAGUUUCUUGUUGUUCGUGGGCGUGCUGAGAACACAGUGUGUGUCAAAUCUAAAGGGUGUAUAGAGAAUGAUCUAAUACUGCUUACCAAGGAUCCACUGAAAAGCUCUGGACAGCAAGUCCAUGUGCUUGGAAAGGUGGAUCGGCGUGAGAGUGACAAAAAUAAGGCUUUAAUUAUUGUAAUAAAGUUCUACCUCUCGAAUGAGAUUCCACGUUUAAAUAAAGUGAAACGGCUUCUUGUUGAAAGAAGUAAAUGGUUCUUGAAUCGGGUUUUGAGCAUGACUCCUCAACUCCGAGAAUUCAGUGCUCUCUCAUCAUUAAAUGACAUCCCAGUGCUUCCAGUAAUCCUGAAUCCUGUUUCAUGUACUGCAACCAAUCAUGAAUCUUUUAAAGUGUAUCUUGAUAAACUUGCACGCCCUCUGCGGAAAGUAUUGAAGUCUUCAUACAAUGACAGCCAGCUCCAAGCUGUUAGUAUUGCCAUUGGGUCAGCAAGCUCGAAAACAAAAUGUGAUCUGUCUCUUAUUCAGGGCCCUCCAGGUACAGGUAAAACAAAAACUAUUGUUGCGAUCGUGAGUGCAUUGCUUUCUUUACAUGCCGACAACUCUUACAAUUUACCAAGAAAUGAAUCCCUGGCUAGUGCUGAAUUUACCAAGCCAAGAACAAAGAUUAGUCAAACUGCUGCUGUAGCUAGAGCUUGGCAGGAUGCAGCCCUGGCUAAACAACAGAUAAAGGAUUCCCAGAGAGAAAACCCGAGGACAGAACGGCUUUCAAAAGGCAUCCUUUCAAGAGGAAGGGCUCUAAUAUGUGCGCAGUCAAAUGCGGCAGUUGAUGAACUUGUGUCAAGACUCAGUAAAGGAUUGUAUGAUACUGAAGGAAAGCUGUAUAGACCUUAUAUAGUGAGGGUUGGUAAUGCAAAGACAGUUCAUCCUAAUUCAAUCCCUUUCUUUAUUGACACACUUGUUGAACAAAGGUUGUCAGACGAGUUGAAGAUUAAUGAUGAAUCCAAAAUUUCAUCCGAUGGCGAAUCCUCCGGUUCACUUAGGGCUAGGUUGGAGAAGGUUGUAGACAGAAUUAGAUAUUAUGAGUCACGGCGAAAACUAGUGGAGGGUGAUAAGACAGAAACUGGAUCUUCUGUGCCCGAUGAAGAUGAGAUGGAUGAAGUUUCUGAUGAAGCAAUUGGUGCAAAGCUCAAUAUUUUAUAUACACAGAAAAGGGCAGUUUCUUCAGAACUUGCCACUGCUCAUGCACGUGAAAAGAAAAUAGCUGAUGAAAACAAGUCUCUUAAGCACAAGGUAAGGAAGUCAAUUCUCGGAGAAGCAGAGAUUGUUGUGACAACGCUCAGUGGGUGUGGAGGUGAUAUUUACGGAGUUUGCUCGGAAACUGCUUCAGCUAAGAAAUACGGGAAUUUCUCUGAGCAAGCUUUGUUUGAUGUUGUUGUUAUCGAUGAAGCUGCGCAGGCUCUUGAGCCUGCAACUUUGAUUCCACUUCAGCUACUCAAGUCGAAAGGAACUAAGUGCAUAAUGGUUGGUGAUCCGAAGCAGCUACCUGCUACCGUGAUGUCUGGAUUGGCUAGCAAGUUUCUCUAUGAGUGCAGCAUGUUUGAACGCCUACAAAGAGCUGGUUAUCCAGUUAUUAUGCUCACUAAACAGUACCGAAUGCAUCCUGACAUUAGCAGAUUCCCGUCGUUGCAUUUCUAUGAAAACAAACUGCUGGAUGGUGCUCAGAAGGCUGAGAAAUCAGCUCCUUUCCAUGAUCACAGUUGUCUUGGUCCAUACAUGUUCUUUGAUAUUGCCGAUGGUCGUGAGCGUGCUGGAACAAGUGCUGCUGCACAAUCACUCUCUAAUCAAUUUGAAGCUGAUGCAGCACUUGAAAUACUGUCAUUUUUAAAGAACAGAUAUCCAGCAGAUUUCUCCUGUAGAAAGAUAGGGAUCAUAACUCCGUACAGGAGUCAACUCUCCUUGCUGCGUUCAAGGUUCACUUCUUUUUUUGGGCCUGAGAUUGUUGCUGAGAUGGAAAUCAAUACUGUGGAUGGAUUUCAAGGUCGGGAAGUUGACAUCUUGGUGUUGUCAACUGUUAGAGCCUCCAACUCUUCAGGUGACAGGCAUCACACUGGUGAAGCACGUAGCAUUGGGUUUGUUGCAGAUGUUAGGCGUAUGAAUGUUGCGCUAACACGCGCCAGGUUUUCUCUAUGGAUAGUUGGUAAUGCAAGAACAUUGCAGACCAAUUCACACUGGGCUUCCUUAUUACAGAAUGCUAAAGAACGUAAUAUGCUCAUCUCAGUUCAGAAGCCCUAUAGUCUGAUCUUUCAAAAUGUUCAUGGUACUACCCAUAGUCACCUUAAGCAGCAGAAGGGAAAUGAAAAGGCUGAUAUGACAAACUCGCGGACAGUCGAUGCACAACUCCAUAAAGAACAUGUGAGACAUGCUGACAGUGCUACAGAAAAGAAAGGUAAAAGUUUACGUGAGGAUCAGGCAAAACAAGCAUCACACUGGGAUCAAAAGACUCGUAAAACUGAAGGCUCCACCUUGAGAAAAUUCAGUCAAGAAAAUGAAGCGACAACGCAGAAUGAUGAUAUGAGAGCUACCAAGGGCUCAUUGAAACAAGAUAUUGAUCAGGAUUCGGUGAUAAGAAAGCAAGGGGCAGAAAAGAAGUCUGUGCAGAAUGUAAAUCAGCUGGAGCUUGCUAAAAGGUUGGCAACAGGGGAUCCCCAUGAUGGCUCUCGUGUCCGAAGGCAAAGGGAAUUGAAUAGGCCUGUUAGCGAGAAUGCUGAUAUGGAAACUGAUAAGGCCUUAUUUAAGCAUGGUCCAUCUGAGAAUCCCAAGGUGAGAUUACAUAAUAACGACAAAAAGGCUGCCAGCCAAAACAAUGAUAUGGGAACCAUCAAGGGUUCGUCAAAACAUGAUUCUGUUGUAAAAUCAGUGGCCAAGCAGGAUGAUGGUUCUUCAUCAGCACAACACCGUGAAAUGCAGAAUUUGAUACAAAAGGCUAAAGGAGCAAGGAAGUUUUCUGAAACACCAAGGUUCAGUAAUUCAAACAAAGAGGGUUCCUUGCUUAAACAUGACGCAGUUUUGGAAUUAGCAAAUAGGAACAGUGGUAUUGGUCCACCAACAAUCCCUGAUAUGAAGAAAAAUAAGGUCAAGGGGGCAAGAAAGUUUACUGAACAACCAAGAUCUGGGAACUCGAAUCAGGUGGAUCCAUCAGUUUCAUCACAUUUUGAUGGAACAAGUAGCCAUAUACGGGACCUCACGACAAGCCAAGCUGCUAAGCAAACUGUAACUAGUCAAAAGGACCAAAUUGCAGCGAGAAAGCGUCAAAGGGAGGACGUUGAAUCUUUACUUUCCUCAGCUCUUAUAUCAUCAAAGAAGCCUAAGAAGAAACAAAAAUGA